UCAUUUUACUUUGGGGUGUGAAAGGGUCCGAGGCUUAAUUUAAUUAAUUUAAUCUAGUGUAUUUUGAAAUAUGCGGGAAACAAAAACUUCCUGUGCAUUUCUAUUUUAGUGUAUUGUUAAUCAAAUUUUAUCUGUCAAAUUAUGGUAAUUAACAAAUAGAAAGGUCUGUCACCUAGCUCUUCCUGCCUCCCACCUAUAGGAUCAUUUUAAAACUGAACCCUUGAAAGAGUUGUCACUUCUUCUUCAGUUCUGAGUGACCAGGGUGUGGACGCGAGGAGGGCAGGAUACUAAGCAAAGCACCUUAUGGUUAACAGGGGCGGAUCCAGGAUUAUUUGAAGGGAAGGGUCAGGAACGACAGGCGUCGAAUUCGGAGAUCAGCAUCGCCACCUUGGAGUGGGGUUCGGGGCCUGCUCAAGGACCCCGAAAAUUUUUUGGUGUUAUGGAGCCCUUUGGACCAGAUACAGGCGUUUACAAACAAGAGGGGUCCACGUGAUCAAGUACUGCCGAAACCCACCGAGGUACAGCUCAACAUGCACCUCUGGCAGCCUUACCUUUGGUUCACAUUCAGGAACUCUGCGCUUAUUCAAGCAUUUAUUUUAUGAGAAUUUAAUAAAUAUAUUUCUCUGGGAUUUUGUCUUAUAUUUUGAUAUGAAAAAGUAUGAAAAUGAUAGUAGUAAUAGAUAGAAAAGGAGUGUGAAGAUAUCAAUAUAAUAGCUAUUUCAGCAGUUUCAAAUUUAAUCUACCUAAUAUAAUAUUGCCCCUGGUAUUACAUGAAAAUAUUUGAAAGAAAAAAGGUUUAAAAGCUUUGCAAACGUACCUUGUAUUUUUAAAAACGAUAUGUAUCUUUAAAAACGAUAGUAUUUGAAUACUUAAAAAUCUAAAGUCUGCUGCAAGGCUGUAGGUGAACCAAAAUAUUUCCUAUAAACACAUUUAUAAAGUGUAAUUGCACACCAGCUUUUUGAAGUUUGAUUUUGUUUCUAAAUUUUUUUCUAAAUCUUGUUCCAUGUCAUGAUAUUUUCAACGUACGUCAGAACAAAUUUGUCCAUCCUCCAGAAUAUCAUUUCUUCACUUUUCAUAAUGUCAUUCAUAGUUUUUUAUAGGACAUUCUUGUGUUUUUUGCUACUGCCAAUUUGACUAUCUAAAUACUUGUGUAUAUACCAUUUAAUUACAAAUCUGAAUAAAAUGAUCAAGUGAAAAAGAG